rnacentral:tRNA from 1 species
GCGCCCAUAGCUCAGUGGAUAGAGCAUCGGUCUUCUAAACCGGUUGUCGCAGGUUCGAAUCCUGCUGGGCGCG